rnacentral:sRNA from 1 species
GUGAUGGUCGUGUCAACCGAACGCGAGCCUAUAGAAAACACGGGUAUUUUUUCGGUUUCUUCCUGUGGCCAACGAACUGGCAGCCGAGUUCUUGUCCUCUCCGGCCG